rnacentral:rRNA from 1 species
AGACAGGUGGUGCAUGGUUGUCGUCAGCUCGUGUCGUGAGAUGUUCGGUUAAGUCCGCUAACGAGCGCAACCCUCGCUGUGUGUUACAAGUGUCACACGGAACUGCCGGUCAUAAACCGGAGGAAGGUGGGGAUGACGUCAAGUCAGCAUGGCCUUUAUAUCCUGGGCUACACACACGCUACAAUGGGAAGGGACAAUAGGUUGCGAAGCCGCGAGGCGGAGCCAAUCCAGCAAAACUUCCCUCAGUUCAGAUUGCAGGCUGCAACUCGCCUGCAUGAAGUUGGAGUUGCUAGUAAACGCAGGUCAGCCAUACUGCGUUGAAUACGUUCCCGGGGCUU